rnacentral:rRNA from 1 species
UACGUAGGGGGCUAGCGUUGUCCGGAAUCAUUGGGCGUAAAGAGCGUGUAGGCGGCCCGGUAAGUCCGCUGUAAAAGUCAAAGGCUCAACCUUUGAAUGUCAGUGGAUACUGCCGGGCUAGAGUCCGGAAGAGGCGAGUGGAACUCCUGGUGUAGCGGUGGAAUGCGCAGAUAUCAGGAGGAACACCGAUGGCGAAGGCAGGUCACUGGGCCGCAACUGACGCUGAGGAGCGAAAGCAUGGGGAGCGAACAGG